GAUAAACGCUUGCGGUGUGCCUUAUGCAUGCAAGUCGAACGGUCUUGAUUUAUCAAGAUAGUGGCGGACGGGUGAGUAACACGUAAGUAACCUGCCCUCAAGUAAAGAAUAACUCUGAGAAAUUGGAGCUAAUACUGUAGUGGUGAUAGGGGUAAUGCUCAAUCACUAAAGCCUUCGGGUGCUUGGGGAGGGGCUUGCGUCCGAUUAGCUAGUUGGUAGGGUAAUGGUUUACCAAGGCGAUGAUCGGUAGCUGGUUUGAGAGGACGGCCAGCCACACUGGGACUGAGACACGGCCCAGACUCCUACGGGAGGCAGCAGCAAGGAAUAUUGUGCAAUGGGCGAAAGCCUGACACAGCGACACCGCGUGGGGGAUGAAGGCCUUCGGGUCGUAAACCCCUUUUCUCAGGGAAGAAUAAUGACGGUACCUGAGGAAUAAGUCUCGGCUAACUACGUGCCAGCAGCCGCGGUAAUACGUAGGAGGCGAGCGUUAUCCGGAUUUACUGGGCGUAAAGAGGACGUAGGCGGCUUUUCAAGUCGGAUGUAAAAUCUCCCGGCUCAACUGGGAGGGAUCAUUCGAUACUGUUGGGCUAGAGGACAGCAGAGGGAGAUGGAAUUCCCGGUGGAGUGGUGAAAUGCGUAGAUAUCGGGAGGAACACCAGUGGCGAAGGCGGUCUCCUGGGCUGUUUCUGACGCUGAGGUCCGAAGGUGUGGGGAGCGAACAGGCUUAGAUACCCUGGUAGUCCACACCGUAAACGAUGGACACUGGGUAUGGGGGGUAUCGACCCCCUCCGUGCCGAAGCUAACGCGUUAAGUGUCCCGCCUGGGGACACGGCCGCAAGGCU
rnacentral:rRNA from 1 species